UACGUAGGGUGCAAGCGUUGUCCGGAUUUAUUGGGUUUAAAGGGUGCGUAGGUGGUUAGUUAAGUCAGUGGUGAAAGCGGGUUGCUCAACAAUCGAACUGCCAUUGAUACUGAUUAACUUGAGAGAGGUUGAGGUUGGUGGAAUGGAUGGUGUAGCGGUGAAAUGCAUAGAUAUCAUCCAGAACGUCAAUUGCGAAGGCAGCUGACUGGGCCUUAUCUGACACUGAGGCACGAGAGCGUGGGGAUCAAACAGG
rnacentral:rRNA from 1 species